CUCAGCCUUUUUCUUGUCUUC
rnacentral:siRNA from 1 species